rnacentral:rRNA from 1 species
ACGACUGGAUGCUCUAGUACGGCGAGUGAAGCAGCAAUAGCUCAAAUUUGAAAUCUGGCGUCUUCGACGUCCGAGUUGUAAUUUGUAGAGGAUGCUUCUGAGUGGCCACCGACCUAAGUUCCUUGGAACAGGACGUCAUAGAGGGUGAGAAUCCCGUAUGCGGUCGGAAAGGCGCUCUAUACGUAGCUCCUUCGACGAGUCGAGUUGUUUGGGAAUGCAGCUCUAAAUGGGAGGUAAAUUUCUUCUAAAGCUAAAUAUUGGCCAGAGACCGAUAGCGCACAAGUAGAGUGAUCGAAAGAUGAAAAGCACUUUGGAAAGAGAGUUAAAAAGCACGUGAAAUUGUUAAAAGGGAAGGGAUUGCAACCAGACUUGCUCGCGGUGUUCCGCCGGUCUUCUGACCGGUCUACUCGCCGCGUUGCAGGCCAGCAUCGUCUGGUGCCGCUGGAUAAGACUUGAGGAAUGUAGCUCCCUCGGGAGUGUUAUAGCCUCUUGUGAUGCAGCGAGCGCCGGGCGAGGUCCGCGCUUCGGCUAGGAUGCUGGCGUAAUGGUCGUAAUCCGCCCGUCUUGAAAACACGGAACCAA